GUGAGGAAUAUUGGACAAUGGCCGGAAGGCUGAUCCAGCCAUGCCGCGUGAAGGAUAAGGUCCUAUGGAUUGUAAACUUCUUUUGAGAGGGAGCAAUAAGGUGUACGCGUACACCGAUGAGAGUACCUUUCGAAUAAGCAUCGGCUAACUCCGUGCCAGCAGCCGCGGUAAUACGGAGGAUGCGAGCGUUAUCCGGAUUUAUUGGGUUUAAAGGGUGCGUAGGCGGUUUAUCAAGUCAGCGGUGAAACGCAAGGGCUUAACCCUUGACCUGCCGUUGAAACUGGUGGACUGGAAUGCGGAUGCUGUGGGAGGAAUGUGUGGUGUAGCGGUGAAAUGCAUAGAUAUCACACAGAACACCGAUUGCGAAGGCAUCUCACAAAUCCGUGAUUGACGCUGAGGCACGAAAGUGUGGGGAUCAAACAGG
rnacentral:rRNA from 1 species